rnacentral:rRNA from 1 species
GUUUCCGUAGGUGAACCUGCGGAAGGAUCAUUGUCGAAACCUGCCCAGCAGAACGACCCGUGAACCCGUAUCUCAACGCCGGGGGCCUGCGGGCCUCGCGCCCGUGCGCCCCCGCCCGCCCCGCGUCGGGUGUCGGACGUUCGCUCCCGCGUGCCUCCGCCCCCUCGCGGCGCUUCAACGAACCCCGGCGCGAAUCGCGCCAAGGAAAUCUUAACGAGAGGGCCCGCCCCCGUCGCCCCGGACACGGGACGCGCGCGGGACGCGUGGCCUUCUUUCAUUAUCUAUAACGACUCUCGGCAACGGAUAUCUCGGCUCUCGCAUCGAUUAAAAACGUAGCGAAAUGCGAUACUUGGUGUGAAUUGCAGAAUCCCGUGAACCAUCGAGUCUUUGAACGCAAGUUGCGCCCCAAGCCAUUAGGCCGAGGGCACGUCUGCCUGGGUGUCACGCAUCGUCGCCCCCCUCCCGGAUCCUUCGAUCGCGCGGCUGUGGGCGGAAGAUGGCCUCCCGUGUGCGUGCGCACGCGGUUGGCCCAAACACGAGUCCUCGGCGACGCGUCCCGCGACGAUCGGUGGCGUUUGAAACACGACCUAGUGAUCCCGUCGCGCGGUCGCGUCCUCCCCGGUGCGGACUCCCCGACCCUCGAGAGCGGGCGAGAGCCCGCUCGCGUCGCGACCCCAGGUCAG